UACAGAGGUCCCAAGCGUUGUUCGGAUUUAUUGGGCGUAAAGGGCGCGUAGGCGGCCACGCACGUCCGUUGUGAAAUCGCCCGGCUCAACUGGGCGGGGUCAGCGGAUACGGUGUGGCUCGAGCAAGCUAGGGGGCAAUGGAAUUCCCGGUGUAGUGGUGGAAUGCGUAGAUAUCGGGAGGAACACCAGUGGCGAAGGCGGUUGCCUGGAGCUUUGCUGACGCUGAUGCGCGAAAGCGUGGGGAGCGAUCCGG
rnacentral:rRNA from 1 species